rnacentral:lncRNA from 1 species
CGAUUGAUCGUGAUAAUACUGUUGUCUAAUGGUGGGUGUUGCCUUUCUUGUUCGUUAUAAGCUCGAAAUUGUUGUGCUUCUUUCAUGUGGGGUUUCUACACAGAAAAAUUGAGACAAAUAAGCAAAAAAAAAAAAACACCUACUGUUAAUCCUACUUUUAAAAUGAAAAAAAUGAAAAUUAUCCCAAAAUUAAUACAAUUAUUAAAAACAAAAUUAAAAUUACAGUUCAAUCUUCAUCCUUCUCCUAAAAAUCCAUCUUAUUCCCUUUUUCUUCUUCCUCGUUCUCACUAUCUUCUUGUUCC